GCUGGGCGUGGUGGUGCAUGCCUGUAAUCCCAGCUACUUGGAGACUGAGGCAGGAAGUUUGCAAGUUUGAAGAGAGAUUCUGUCUCAA
rnacentral:sRNA from 1 species